UACGUAGGGUGCGAGCGUUAAUCGGAAUUACUGGGCGUAAAGCGUGCGUAGACGGUUUCGUAAGUCGGGUGUGAAAUCCCCGGGCUCAACCUGGGAAUUGCAUUCGAAACUGCGAGGCUAGGGUACGGAAGAGGGAAGCGGAAUUUCUGGUGUAGCGGUGAAAUGCGUAGAUAUCAGAAGGAACAUCAGUGGCGAAAGCGGCUUCCUGGUCCAGUACCGACGUUCAGGCACGAAAGCGUGGGGAGCAAACAGG
rnacentral:rRNA from 1 species